rnacentral:rRNA from 1 species
UACGUAGGCAGCGAGCGUUGUUCGGAAUUACUGGGCGUAAAGAGUGUGUAGGCGGUGCUCCCAGUCUGUUGUGAAAUCUCCCGGCUUAACUGGGAGGGUGCAGCGGAAACUAGAGUGCUAGAGGGUGGGAGAGGUAAGCGGAAUUCCUGGUGUAGCGGUGAAAUGCGUAGAUAUCGGGAGGAACACCUGUGGCGAAAGCGGCUCACUGGACCACAACUGACGCUGAGGCGCGAAAGCUAGGGGAGCAAACAGG